rnacentral:rRNA from 1 species
UACUAGAGUAGCACUCGCAUAUCAAUAAGCGGAGGAAAAGAAACUAACAAGGAUUCCCCUAGUAACGGCGAGUGAAGCGGGAAGAGCUCAAAUUUGAAAUCUUAAAGGGUUUCCCUUUACGAAUUGUAGUUUAAAGAAGUGUUUUCUGUUGAGGUUUUGGUAAAAGUCCUUUGGAAUAGGACAUCAUAGAGGGUGAGAAUCCCGUAUUUGACCUUUACUUUCAACUUUGUGAUACACUUUCAAAGAGUCGGAUUGUUUGGGAAUGCAGUCCAAAAUGGGUGGUAAAUUUCAUCUAAAGCUAAAUAUUGGCGAGAGACCGAUAGCGAACAAGUACCGUGAGGGAAAGAUGAAAAGAACUUUGAAAAGAGAGUUAAACAGUACGUGAAAUUGUCAAAAGGGAAGCGUUUGACACCAGUGUUGUUUUUCUGAAAAUCAAUUAAAGAACUGUUUAUGCUAAGCUGUUUAGACUUUAUCAGCUAAUCUGUUUAGUUUUGAGCUUUUCUUUAAUGCACUUUUCAGUUAACAAGUCAACAUCAAUUUCUUUUGCUGUAAAAAAGCUUGAGGAAGGUGGCUUGAGAUUCGUCUUAAGUGUUUAUAGCCUCUUGCCUAUGCAGUCGGAGAGAUUGAGGUCUGCAGCGUAGAUCCUUCGGGGCUAAAUGCAUUUGUGCUAAGUUAUAGCAUUUUAUAGACAACUUGUUGACUAUGAUUUGUCUUGUAGCUUACUCGCUUAUGUUAUUUUACCUACGCUUAGGAUGUUGAGCGCAUGUCUCUCUCU